rnacentral:snRNA from 1 species
AUACUUAUCUGGCAGGGGAAACACCAUGAUCAGGCAGGUGGUUUUCCCAGGACAAGGCUCAUCCCCUGCACUCUGGGUGUGCUGACCCCUGCAGCUUCCCCAACUGCAGGAAACUCGACUGCAUAACUGGGUUGUGUUUGUUUGUUUGUUUUUCUCAUGGCCAGCAGG